rnacentral:rRNA from 1 species
GUGAGGAAUAUUGGUCAAUGGGCGAGAGCCUGAACCAGCCAAGUAGCGUGCAGGAUGACGGCCCUAUGGGUUGUAAACUGCUUUUAUACGGGGAUAAAGUGAGGGACGUGUCCCUUUUUGUAGGUACCGUAUGAAUAAGGACCGGCUAAUUCCGUGCCAGCAGCCGCGGUAAUACGGAAGGUCCGGGCGUUAUCCGGAUUUAUUGGGUUUAAAGGGAGCGCAGGCUGAUUAUUAAGCGUGACGUGAAAUGUAGCCGCUCAACGGCUGAACUGCGUCGCGAACUGGUAGUCUUGAGUGAGUUCGAUGUUGGCGGAAUUCGUGGUGUAGCGGUGAAAUGCUUAGAUAUCACGAAGAACUCCGAUUGCGAAGGCAGCCAACAAGGCCUUUACUGACGCUAAAGCUCGAAGGUGCGGGUAUCGAACAGG